GCGAGGCAAGCUCUCCACCACUAAGCUAUAACCUUAGCACUUGUAAAAAUCUUAAAUUGAGACAGGGUCUGGCUGUGUUUGCUUAGGUUUUCCAGAACUCUUGAAGUCUCAGCCUCUGCCUCCCAAGCAGCUGGGAUCACAGGUGUACACUAUUGUAGCCAUUGCACAGGAAAUUAAAAAAAAAAACAAACAGAUAUAUGACAGACUUAUGUAUUUUAUUUUAAUUUAGGUAAGUCUCUUUCUUUCAAGAAGUCAGAGAACCUUGCUUUCUCUGCUGAAUGAUAAAGUGUUCAUUUUAAUGCUUCCUCCAGUGUAGACUCUGCCUGUCUUAUGUGUUUCAGGGUGGAGUUAAUGCCAUGUACCAUGUGAUUUAGGGCUAUGAUCAAGACCAUGGCCGAGUGUACCUUGUGAUGGAGAAGGGAGACACCGUUUUCUAUCACCCUUUGCUCAUCCAUGGAUCUGGUCAGAAUGAAUCUCAAGGAUUCUGGAAAAUAUGCAUCUAGUUUUUAAAGAUGAGUGGGUUCAAAACAGAAAAUCAUAGGUAUAGUAACAUGUAAAGAUUUAUGACUUUUCACUAAACUGGAUUGUUUUUUCCAGUUUACUUGCCAGAAAGUAUAUUUGCCUUCGUUGUGCUUUUUUUUUGCUCUACUCAGUGCGAAGCCGGGUGCCCUCAGGAUCCUUAACCUGUUAAUCAUGAAUCUUGAUCAUUUGUGGAAUUGCUUCAGAGCAGUAGGUCACCUUGCAGUGCACAGCUUCUGCUUUCUGAGGCAUAAACAGUUGCUGAAAUAUUAAAAUAGCACGUUAACUUUGCUAUUUUUCCACAUUCUCAAUGACUAUAAUGUUAUGGAAGAUUAUUUACAAUUAUUUCAUAACAACAUGGAUCAUAAGUGCACAUUUUUUCUUUUUAUUUGAACCUUCAUAUGGCUCUGCCUGGCACUGGAGCCUGUGCAGGAAAUGGAGUUUAAAUUUGGGGCAAAUAGAAAGUCCUUCUGACAGGUGUGAUCACCUUAAGAUAACUAACUUAUGAUAAAGAAGGUGGGUUUUAGGUAUUAUUUUUCAGCUUACAUUUGUUUAGACCUUAUUCUGGAACAGGGAGAACUAAGUCACCUCAGCCUUAUCCUCAGCAGGAAACAAGCUGGGUAAUAAUGUCAAUGUAUUGACCUUUAAAUGUCCCUCUUUAUUGCAGGUGUGGUAUUUUUCUUUUGAAGGUAAUUUCAGUUUUCAUAUCUAUUGCCAUUGCAAUAAUGUCUAUUGCCAUUGCAAUAAUAACCUUUCCCAAAUUUAACAGGGUAACCAACCUUUAUGACUAAGAAGGUGACGAACCAUAGGAUUGUACAUUUCUUUUAAACUUUAAAAUAUACACUCAUUGGAAAAACUUAAAUGCUUAAAACUGUGAAGAUCUGUUACUUAAGUGAUUAUGCCCCCUGUCCUAUAUAUACCUUAAAAAAGUAAAUAUCAC
rnacentral:lncRNA from 1 species